rnacentral:lncRNA from 13 species
CUUUUCCAAUAAGAAACUGUUCACCAAAGUACCUCAAGAAACCAUGUGACAAUCUGUGGUUCCCCAUUUUGUGUUUCAUUUCUGUUAGUUGACCUUAUUUUUACCAGAAAUCCUUUUCUAUAAAGGGCAAGGUAGUAAACAUUUUAGUCUUUGUGGGCUGUAUGAUUUCUAUCACAACGAUUCACUUCUGCCAUCUUAAUAUGAAGCAGCCAUAGACAGUCUGUAAAUGAAUUAGGGCAGAGCCUCUGCAUUCCAAUAACAUUUUAUUUAUAAAACCAGGCAGUAGGCCAGAUUUAGCCCAUACACCUAGCAUGUUGACCCAUCUUCAAACCAACAGAGGCUCAUGUGAAUAACCAGAGAAAGUAUUUUACUUUUUUCUCGUCUUAUUGAGGUGUACGAACUCCUAAAACAUUCGAAACAACCAGAAUCCGUCAUUCAGAAGUGCUUAACCUGAGUGUGAAUCACCCAUGGCAGCAUGGGUCGUCAGUGACAUAGCUGGACUCCAGCCUGGGUCUCGUCUCAGGUUGAAAAUGCAAGCUAACUCGUCAAUGGAUUGAAGUGUCUCGGAAUGAUGUAGUUCUGACCCCGUGCAGAUGUUGUCCACAAAUGCGCCUCUGCCCUUGAGGAUCCUGAAUACUCCUUUCUGCUCCCAGGAAACAGCUCUCAUUUGCAUUGACUUCCAGCAACUUCCUCUAGGCGAGCUCCCGGAGGCAGUCACCUGCAGUCUUCUGCCUGCAGGCUCAGGGCUAUGCAGAACCUAGGAAAUGUUUGCAAAAAGAAUGAGCUAAAUUAGGAAGAUGGGAAGACAAACAGAGAAAAUGCC